rnacentral:sRNA from 1 species
GUGAAGGAAGAGAGUGAAGCGGCAGGAUAGACAAAAGCAGGGCAUCUAGGGAGGAUGUGGGAAUGUUUGAUAGUGAUUGUGAUUCCUGCUGUAAGGGUAACGAUUAGGCAGACGGCUAAAGUGAGGGAGACUUUUGGCUGGUAUUCCAAUUGGAAGGAGUUACACUAUAUAAUCCCACUGCAAACAAUAGGUCUGCAGCCCCUCUUUCCUGGAGUAAAUGAACUGGACCAAAUCUCAAAAAUCCACGAUGUCAUCGGCACACCUGCUCAGAAGACCCUCACCAAGUUCAAACAAAACAGUCCCUAAAGCAAGAGGAGGACCGUCCCAAGAGACGAGGACCGGCCUAUGUCAUGGAACUGCCCAAACUUAAGCUUUCUGGAGUGGUCAGACUGUCGUCUUACUCCAGCCCCACGCUGCAGUCCGUGCUUGGAUCUGGAACAAAUGGAAGAGUGCCGGUGCUGAGACCCUUGAAGUGCAUCCCUGCGAGCAAGAAGGUAGCGCGGAACCAGCUUCUCUGACGGCGCUGCUCUUCGACCCAGCCCAGGCCGCCACUGAAUUUUGUGUCUGUAAUUUUUCUUUGACAGACAGAUCCGCGGAAGGACCUUAAGCCUGCCCCGCAGCAGUGUCGCCUGCCCACCAUAGCGCGGAAAGGCGGAAGAUAACUGAGCAGCACCGUCGUCUCGACUUCGGAGGCAACACCAAGCCCGACCGGGCCAGGCCUGGGCGAUCUGCUGCUGAGACGCCACGGAGGGCUGGGGAUGGGCCUGCGUCCGUUUCGCGCUGGCCGGGGCUCUGGGUGCUGCCCUGCGCCCUACCGCACCCGCGGCCCGCGCAGCUGCCUAGGAUGUUCUGGGCUAAUAUAUUUGUAAAACCACCGC